GGUGCCGUAGCUCAGCGGUAGAGCCUUCGAUGGCCCCGGUUCGAGUCCGGGCGGCACCG
rnacentral:tRNA from 1 species